AUACUAUGUGAUCUUAGAGAAGAAAAAAAGUCAGUGGAGAAAAAAGAAUGCAGUGGUAGGUGAGCGAAAAGAAAGAAGGAAACUAGAAAAAUGUAAAUGGAAGUUGUGAAGGUGUAAGGGAAUAAAUGGAGAGAAUGGAAAAGAGAGGAGACAGAAAAAGGAGGAGAAACCAGAAGGAGGAAAAGAGGAGAAAAGAUUAGAUCACGUUCAUCACAUCUUGACAUGUACACACCAUAUCCUAUCGCAGAUGGUAUACAGUAAGAAAAUUGCAGUGAGAUUUGAAUAAAAAAUAAACUAUAAAAACGUUCAAUAUAUUAACAUAGUAAAAAGGUAACAUGAUAACAAACGAUGUAAUUGAACUGUGGAAUCGUCAAAAUACAAAGUAAAACAAAAUUAGAUUGAUUACAUGUUAUUUAAAAGAUUAACAAAGUAUGGAAGAGAACUACAUUGGAAACGUUUAGUUUUGCAUUUAUAUUGUUGAUAUUUCAAUUGUGAUCUUAAAACAUAAUUACAUUGCUGCCUAAGAGGUAAACUAUUUGUAAAUUGUGGAUGUUUGGCAAGAGAACUGGCAAAGUCAAAACAUAACUGUUUACGUCUUGCCUCUAACGAAGAAAUAUUGCACGUUUCCAAUGCGUUAGCAUAGUCUUCAUACUGGAAUCCAAGCAUUAUCUUGCAAGCACGUUUCUGGAUAUUUUCCAAGGCAAGUACAUGGCUUUUAGAUAGGUUACCAUUGUAAACCGGUACUCCGUAGUCUAAAAUUGGGCGAAUGUAUCCUUUAUAUAU